UUUGAGUUCUAACCUUACCCUUCUUCCCAGCUUCGUGUCACUUAGUACAAUACUUUUUUUAGUACAAUGCUUUAUUCUAUUAUCAGGUCACACAUGAAAAUAUUCCAUUGUAUCAGACUCAGAGCGAGCCCCUGUGGAAUCCUGCUCACUGCAUCUCUCUGACUUUGCAGAUGAUAUGGUUUUUUAGAAAAUUUUCCCCACCUAGAAUCUUUGUUUUGUCUUGACCAUGCUUCCCUAGCCUAUUUAUAAGUGUUAUAUGAAGCAUGGUUAAGAUAUAUGACACCUACUGCUUUUCCUUUGCCCACAAAGUCUAUGAUUAUGGGAAAUUAAAUAACUUUGACAGACAACUAAGAGCAGAGAAAGAUGCUGGUAGCUGUUGUGGCACAAACUGGUCAUGAAAUCCCAAACCCGAAAAUCCAAGACUUGUUUACCGAAUAGUAAGGUCCACAUGUGCUAUGCCAUCAUAAUCAUUGUGUGUUAGCACUCUCCCAUGCCUUUCCCACCUUAAAUAUAACUCCGUAGGUCAAUAGGGAGAAUCCAUAGGUCUCUGCUAGCCCUCCUCAAGACACCCUUCUCCAGGGCAUUGAG
rnacentral:lncRNA from 1 species